rfam:Schistosoma rodhaini strain Burundi genome assembly, scaffold: SROB_scaffold0005176
ACUUCCAUAGCUCAAUGGUCAAAGCACUGGUCUUGUAAACCAGCAGUCAGGAGUUCGAUCCUCCCUGGGGACA